AUUUUAAUAUAAAUUAUAUACCUGAGUGACCUACGAAAAAUUGUAGCCCAUCAAAAGGUAUUUCGUGGAGAAGUGGGGAAGGGGCUAGGCGGGUCUGGGUCUUACU